UACGUAGGGGGCUAGCGUUGUCCGGAAUCAUUGGGCGUAAAGCGCGUGUAGGCGGUCCGGUAAGUCCGCUGUGAAAGUCGGGGGGCUCAACCCUCGAAUGCCGGUGGAUACUGUCGGGCUAGAGUGCGGAAGAGGCGAGUGGAAUUCCUGGUGUAGCGGUGAAAUGCGCAGAUAUCAGGAGGAACACCGAUUGCGAAGGCAGCUCGCUGGGACGUUACUGACGCUGAGACGCGAAAGCGUGGGGAGCAAACAGG
rnacentral:rRNA from 1 species